CUAAGUGGCGGACGGGUGAGUAAUGUAUAGUUAAUCUGCCCUUUAGAGGGGGAUAACAGUUGGAAACGACUGCUAAUACCCCAUACUCCUUUUAUCUUAAUGAUAAUUGGGAAACGUUUUUUCGCUAAAGGAUGAGACUAUAUGGUAUCAGGUAGUUGGUAGGGUAAAAGCCUACCAAGCCAAUGACGCCUAGCUGGUCUGAAAGGAUGAUCAGCCACACUGGAACUGAGACACGGUCCAG
rnacentral:rRNA from 1 species